AAUUAAUUAGCUUAACCCCCUAAAGCAUAUGUCUUGAAAACAUGAAAUUAGAAGAUAACCCUUUUAUUAAUUU
rnacentral:tRNA from 1 species